GACGAACGCUGGCGGCGUGCUUAACACAUGCAAGUCGAGCGGUAAGGCCCUUUCGGGGGUACACGAGCGGCGAACGGGUGAGUAACACGUGGGUGACCUGCCCUCAGCUCUGGGAUAAGCCCGGGAAACUGGGUCUAAUACUGGAUAUGACUCCACGGUGCAUGUCGUGGGGUGGAAAGCCUUGUGCGGCUGAGGAUGGGCCCGCGGCCUAUCAGCUUGUUGGUGGGGUGAUGGCCACCAAGGCGACGACGGGUAGCCGGCCUGAGAGGGCGACCGGCCACACUGGGACUGAGACACGGCCCAGACUCCUACGGGAGGCAGCAGUGGGGAAUCUUGCGCAAUGGGCGAAAGCCUGACGCAGCGACGCCGCGUGAGGGAUGACGGCCU
rnacentral:rRNA from 1 species